rnacentral:misc_RNA from 1 species
AUCGAGAUGGCGCAGCGGAA